GUGAAACUCAGCAGCAUAUAUACUAAAAUUGGAACGAUACGGAGAAGAUUAGUAUGUCCCCUGUGCAAGGAUGACACGCAAAUUCAUGAAGCGUUCCAUAUUUUU
rnacentral:snRNA from 1 species